UUACAAAGUUGACCCAGCAACUUUACACCAGUGGGAGAGGCAGAACUGCUCUUUCUUUUCAACAUAACUUAAGUUACACAUGAUUUCUUCCAAGUGGUUUGGCUUGUUAAAAACAUCUUACAUUUUUAGAUACAUUAUGAUACAGGAAAUUGCUGGCUUUGUAUUUACAGAAGUACCUGACUAUGCCUGACUUUUGUGCAGCCUACGGCUGCUCUAAUCGCCGCAGUCUGCAAACAAGAACCCGUGGAAUCACGUGUUUCCCAAAACCGGAGAGAGGAGGAGGCAGUGGGAAGUUGCCCUAAGAAGGGACGGUUUUGUUUCCUCUGGCAGGACGCUGCUCUGCAGUGAGUACUUCAGGAGUGAGGACUUUGACAGGACGGGGCAGACUGUCCGGCUUAAAGAUGGUGUUGUGCCAACAGUAUUCAAUUUCCCAGCUCAUCUUCAAAGGCCGGAAGCAACAAGAAGCACAACCACUUCAAGAAGAGCGGAAGAUGAACCUCAGCCUAAUGUUGUGAGUAUUCUGAAUGUGGCCAAGACCAGAGAGAUGGUCAUUGAUUUCAGGAGGGUGAGGACGUCUCUUCUACCCCUGUGCAUUCUGGGAGAGGAUGUGGCUGUUGUGGAGGACUACAAAUACCUGGGAGUGCACUUAGACAACGGACUGAACUGGAGGAUCAACACUGAUGCUGUGCACAAGAAGGGGAUGAGCAGACUCUAUUUUCUGAGGAAGCUGAGAUACUUCCACGUGUGCAGUAAGAUGCUGGAGAUCUUCUACCGGUCUGUUGUGGCCAGUGCACUCUUCUUUGCUCCGGUCUGCUGGGGGGGCAGCAUCAGAGC